rnacentral:rRNA from 1 species
CCCCUAGAUGUUCUGGGCCGCACGCGCGCUACACUGAACAGUUCAACAAGUCUUAACCUUGGCCGAUAGGUCUGGGUAAUCUUUGAACGCUGUUCGUGAUUGGGAUAGACCUUUGCAAUUAUGGGUCUUCAACGAGGAAUUCCUAGUAAACGCAAGUCAUCAGCUUGCAUUGAUUACGUCCCUGCCCUUUGUACACACCGCCCGUCGCACCUACCGAUUGAAUGGUCCGGUGAAAUCUCGGGACGGCGGCUUGGUGGCUUGCGUCCGACUGCUGAAACUUGAUUAAACCAUAUCAUUUAGAGGAAGGUGAAGUCGUAACA